UUAAUUGAAGCCAAAAAGAGGCUUAUAAAUUUUAAUAAUAUAUUUUAUUAAUUGAUCUCCAAUUAAG
rnacentral:tRNA from 1 species